rnacentral:pre_miRNA from 1 species
CGAUCCACCCGUAUGGUUCAUGGUCAGUGCAUUACCGAUCCAUGAUUGGACAUCACCAAUUCGAGAUUCCUUCCGAUCACUAAGAAUUAAAGAAUCUACCUGGCUAUGCAUCGAGAUAUGAACGAUCCGACUUGAUCAAAUGCGAUCGUCUUUUGACCAAAAAUGAAUCAUUCCCUCUUUAAUUCUUAGUGAUCGGAAGGAAUUUCGAAUUGGUGAUGUCUGAUUUUGGAUCGGUAAUGCACCGACCAUGAACCAUAUAGGUGGAUCG